CAAAUACAUGUCCCCCUGACCCUUCUGUUGCUAGGUCAAGUACAUGUCCCCCUGACCCUUCUGUUGCUAGGUCAAAUACAUGUCCCCCGGACCCUUCUGUUGCUAGGUCAAAUACAUGUCCCCCGGCCCCUUCUGUUGCUAGGUCAAAUACAUGUCCCCCUGACCCUUCUGUUGCUAGGUCAAGUACAUGUCCCCCUGACCCUUCUGUUGCUAGGUCAAAUACAUGUCCCCCGGCCCCUUCUGUUGCUAGGUCAAAUACAUGUCCCCUUUACCCUUCUGUUGCUAGGUCAAGUACAUGUCCCCCUGACCCUUCUGUUGCUAGGUCAAAUACAUGUCCCCCGGCCCCUUCUGUUGCUAGGUCAAAUACAUGUCCCCCUGACCCUUCUGUUGCUAGGUCAAGUACAUGUCCCCCUGACCCUUCUGUUGCUAGGUCAAAUACAUGUCCCCCGGACCCUUCUGUUGCUAGGUCAAAUACAUGUCCCCCUGACCCUUCUGUUGGACAUACUGUUGCUAGGUUAAAUACAUGUCCACUUGACCCUUCUGUUGGACAUACUGUUGCUAGGUAAAAUACAUGUCCCCCUGACCCUUCUGUUGGACAUACUGUUGCUAGGUCAAAUACAUGUCCCUCUGAACCUUCUGUUGCUAGGUCAAAUGCAUGUCCCCCUGACCCUUCUGUUGCUAGGUCAAAUACAUGUCCUCCUGAC
rnacentral:lncRNA from 1 species